rnacentral:lncRNA from 1 species
AAGAUCUAAGAUUUGCUUAGUAUUUGGUCAAGAAUUAAUAUUUAUGAUUUAAUUAAGAUUUGAUUAAGAUUUAGAAUUUCACUACGAUUUGAUUAAGGUUGGUCUAAGAUUUAGGAAUUAAUUAGAAUUUAGGAUUUGUUUAAGAUUUGGUUUAAGUUAAGGAUUUGACUAAUUUUUGAUUAGGAUUUUUUAUAGAUUUAAUUAAUAUUUUCUUAGGAUUUGGUUUGAAAUUUGGUUAGAAUUAAUAUAAAAUUUU